CAGUCGCCACGGGAAUACGUAGGGUGCGAGCGUUAAUCGGAAUUACUGGGCGUAAAGCGUGCGCAGGCGGUUGUGUAAGACAGGUGUGAAAUCCCCGGGCUCAACCUGGGAAUGGCGCUUGUGACUGCAAAGCUAGAGUGCGGCAGAGGGGGAUGGAAUUCCGCGUGUAGCAGUGAAAUGCGUAGAUAUGCGGAGGGACACCGAUGGCGAAGGCAAUCCCCUGGGCCUGCACUGACGCUCAUGCACGAAAGCGUGGGGAGCAAACAGGAUUAGAUACCCGAGUAGUCCCUGUCUCUUAUAC
rnacentral:rRNA from 1 species